rnacentral:rRNA from 1 species
CAAAAAGACCGCGAAACCGUUAGGAGGGAAACGAAUGCAGCUGAAGCGGCUCCCCGUCAGGCUCAGGAGGAGGCGGAUGGGUUCCCGGCGGCGGGCGGAGGCCGAAAGAAGGCUCCGGUUCGCUGUCGGGGUCGGGCCCGUCGUCCACUCUGCACUUCUGCGGGGAGUCGGCCAACGGCAGUCGCCCCCGGCUCUGGAGGCGUUCCGGGGGAGGUGGCCCCGCGCUCCGGCGCGGGGAGCGUAGAGCCCCGGCGCCCGGCAGUCUGGGAAAAUGUUUCGAAAGAAGCGCUAAAAAAAGUGGGCGACUGAGGAGAGACGCUGCGGUCCCUCGCACGUCGCGGCGCGGGCCUUCCCGAAAGGGCUGGGCUGGGCCUCUUCCGCCGGGUCGGCAUCCGAGGCGGCGACUGCUCGUCAGUGGCCGUCGACGGUUCCGUCGCCUCCGGCGGGAGGCGGGUCACACCUCG